CGGGGGGGCAAGCGUUGUUCGGAAUUACUGGGCGUAAAGGGCGCGUAGGCGGCCUGCUAAGUCAACACCGUGAAAUCCCUCGGCUCAACCGGGGAACUGCGUGUGAUACUGGCGGCUUGAAUUCGGGAGAGGGAUGUGGAAUUCCAGGUGUAGCGGUGAAAUGCGUAGAUAUCUGGAGGAACACCGGUGGCGAAGGCGGCAGUCCUGGACCGAGAUUGACGCUGAGGCGCGAAAGCUAGGGGAGCAAACGGGAUUAGAUACCCGGUAGUCCUAGCCCUAAACGAUGAGUGCUUGGUGUGGCGGGUAUCGAUCCCUGCCGUGCCGAAGCUAACGCAUUAAGCACUCCGCCUGGGGAGUACGGUCGCAAGGCUG
rnacentral:rRNA from 1 species